AACGAACGCUGGCGGCAGGCUUAACACAUGCAAGUCGAACGAGAUCUUCGGAUCCAGUGGCAGACGGGUGAGGAACACGUGGGAACAUCCCUUUCAGUUCGGAAUAACGUUGGGAAACUAACGCUAAUACCGGAUACGUCCUUCGGGAGAAAGAUUUAUCGCUGAAAGAUUGGCCCGCGUCUGAUUAGCUAGUUGGUGAGGUAAUGGCUCACCAAGGCUACGAUCAGUAGCUGAUCUGAGAGGAUGAUCAGCCACAUUGGGACUGAGACACGGCCCAAACUCCUACGGGAGGCAGCAGUGGGGAAUAUUGGACAAUGGGCGCAAGCCUGAUCCAGCCAUGCCGCGUGAGUGAUGACGGCCUUCGGGUUGUAAAGCUCUUUUGUCCGGGAAGAUAAUGACUGUACCGGAAGAAUAAGCCCCGGCAAACUUCGUGCCAGCAGCCGCAGAAA
rnacentral:rRNA from 1 species